AUUGAACGCUGGCGGCAGGCCUAACACAUGCAAGUCGAGCGAGUGGCGGACGGGUGAGUAAUGUCUGGGGAUCUGCCUGAUGGAGGGGGAUAACUACUGGAAACGGUAGCUAAUACCGCAUACCAUCGGAUGUGCCCAGAUGGGAUUAGCUAGUAGGUGGGGUAACGGCUCACCUAGGCGACGAUCCCUAGCUGGUCUGAGAGGAUGACCAGCCACACUGGAACUGAGACACGGUCCAGACUCCUACGGGAGGCAGCAGUGGGGAAUAUGGCACAAUGGGCGCAAGCCUGAUGCAGCCAUGCCGCGUGUAUGAAGAAGGCCUUCGGGUUGUAAAGUACUUUCAGCGGGGAGGCGUUACCCGCAGAAGAAGCACCGGCUAACUCCGUGCCAGCAGCCGCGGUAAUAC
rnacentral:rRNA from 1 species